rnacentral:lncRNA from 1 species
CUAACUUCCUCCAACGAGGCAACAAGUAGUUAAGUUUAAACCACAUCCAAACCGGGAUGUUCCAGGCACCGGGGGUGCUUCAGAGAUGCUAGACAAAUAACCCAAAACAUCAUCGCGUUUGCAUCACGACCUGGAAGCCACGAUGGACAAGGCCAAGGGCUCCUCAGGAGUGACGGAGCUUCCCUCUGCACCCUCAGACCCGGAGCUAUUGGCGACACGCUGACGGGGUGAUCCGGACCUGUCGCUGCCCCAGGGCAAAGUGCCUCUUAGGGCUGGCGGGUCGGUGGCGUCCCCGCGGGCAGAGCGUGGCGGCGAGGCGCGGGUCCAGGGCUCCCAGGCGGUGGCGCGUCCCCGAGGGUCCGCGUCCCCGCGUCCAGGCGCAGGCUUCGCUUUCCUGGAGCUUUUCAGAUCACAGGCGGUGCAGGCGGAGGUUAAGCGAAGAGGACUCGCGUCCGGGCUGCACCCAGGUCCUCUCUGCGUGUCCCCGAAGCAGCGACUGACCCCUGACGGCAGCCGGGAGCAGCGCGGGGCCGGACUGUGCUG